AUACAGAGGGUGCAAGCGUUAUUCGGAAUUACUGGGCGUAAAGCGCGCGUAGGCGGAUGAUUAAGUCAGUUGUGAAAGCCCUGGGCUCAACCUAGGAACUGCAUCUGAUACUGGUCGUCUAGAGUUUAAGAGAGGGAAGUGGAAUUCCAGGUGUAGCAGUGAAAUGCGUAGAUAUCUGGAGGAACAUCAGUGGCGAAGGCGACUUCCUGGCUUAAAACUGACGCUGAGGUGCGAAAGCGGGGGUAGCGAACGGGAUUAGAAACCCUUGUAGUCC
rnacentral:rRNA from 1 species